rnacentral:tRNA from 1 species
AGAUUGGUGGUUCAGUGGUAGAGUGCUCACCUUCCAUGCCAGAGACCUGGGUUCGAUUCCCGGUUGAUGCA